AUGGCCCAUGCAGGGUGGCCCCAGGGGAAGCCCCGUACCGUGGCCGAGUACUGCUGGGGAGCGCUGACAGUGCCUGUCCUUCCCUUGCAGCUCGGAGCCAGUGAAGGAUGUGGAACCCCAACCAAGGACCACCACCUCCACAGGUGCAAAUCUGCCCGCCUGCCCCUCCGACAUACCCAUACCCAGGGCCCUGCAAUCCAGCUGGGCCCUGCCCUGGCUACCCGGCAGUGCCACCCAGCGCCCCUGGGGCCUGUCAACCAGGACACCCAGGUCCCUGUCAACCAGGACACCCAGGUCCCUGUGGCCCCCCACCACCUGGCCACCACCCACCAGGCCACCACCCGCCGGGCCACCACCCACCAGGCCACCACCACCACGGGCAUCCCCCCCCAGGGAUGCCGGGGUGCCCACCAGUCCACCCUGGCUGCCAUCAGAAACACCAUAAGAAGCACAAGAAGAAGCACUCCAAGUCCCACAAGCACCACGGUGGCAAGCACUCAAGCAGCUCGAGCAGCUCGAGCAGUUCUGAUUCUGACUGAAGACAACAUGUUCCACCUGCAUGGUGGUGAAGCCCUGGAGGAGACAGCAUAUGAAGACAAAUGUCCCACGGGAACCACCUGCUUGUUGUUCUGCCCCUUUCUGCCGUCUCCGCAGUCUGCAUUUUGCCUGUCGAGUGAUUUUUUUGCUUUUAGUUUGUAA
rnacentral:lncRNA from 1 species